rnacentral:rRNA from 1 species
GACGAACGCUGGCGGCGUGCUUAACACAUGCAAGUCGAACGGAAAGGCCCUGCUUUUGUGGGGUGCUCGAGUGGCGAACGGGUGAGUAACACGUGAGUAACCUGCCCUUGACUUUGGGAUAACUUCAGGAAACUGGGGCUAAUACCGGAUAGGAGCUCCUGCUGCAUGGUGGGGGUUGGAAAGUUUCGGCGGUUGGGGAUGGACUCGCGGCUUAUCAGCUUGUUGGUGGGGUAGUGGCUUACCAAGGCUUUGACGGGUAGCCGGCCUGAGAGGGUGAACGGCCAAAUUGGGAAGGAGAUACGGCCCAGACUCCUACGGGAGGCAGGAGUGGGGAAUAUUGCACAAUGGGCGGAAGCCUGAUGCAGAAAAGCCGCGUGCGGGAUGACGGCCUUCGGGUUGUAAACCGAUUUCGCCUGUGACGAAGCGUGAGUGACGGUAAUGGGUAAAGAAGCACCGGCUAACUACGUG